rnacentral:lncRNA from 1 species
AUUANNNNNNNNNNAAGGUACUCUGGGAAGUUGUUGCUGAGGGAAUGUACAGCAUUCUUUGAGACCUUCCACCUGCAUCAUAUGUCUCUUUGUUUUUCUUUCAGAAUCCUAGAACUGUCUUCUCCAUGAAUGUCAUUAAUCUGUGUCCUCAAAUGACAUUAAAUCCUGUGUUGGAACAUCUAUUGGAUGGACAAUAACGAAGCUGAGAAGCACUCACUGAGAUGAAGCUUGGUAUACAGAUCCUGAUGAUAAGAGAGUCUUCACCAUCUUGCAUCAUAUACAUGAAAAACAAAAAGACAGUGAUUCUGGACUCAAGUGUGUGCCUGGCUCUGCAAGGACCAAGGCUA